rnacentral:rRNA from 1 species
AGAGUUUGAUCAUGGCUCAGAACGAACGCUGGCGGCGUGCUUAACACAUGCAAGUCGAACGCGAACGGUUUCUUCGGAAACCUAGUAGAGUGGCGCACGGGUGAGUAACGCGUAAAUAAUCUACCCUAAUGUCUGGGAUUACCAAGCCGAAAGGCUGACUAAUACCGGCUAUAUGCUACCCUGUUGGGGGUAUCAGGAAAGGUGGCCUCUUCUUGAAAGCUAUCGCAUUGGGAUGAGUUUGCGUACCAUUAGCUAGUUGGUGGGGUAAUGGCCUACCAAGGCAUCGAUGGUUAGCGGGUCUGAGAGGAUGAUCCGUCACACUGGCACUGGAACACGGGCCAGACUCCUACGGGAGGCAGCAGUGAGGAAUAUUGCGCAAUGGGGGCAACCCUGACGCAGCGACGCCGCGUGAGUGAGGAAGGCCUUCGGGUCGUAAAGCUCUGUCAGUAGGGAAGAAAUGCAUAUUGGUUAAUACCCCUUAUGUUUGACGGUACCUACAAAGGAAGCACCGGCUAACUCCGUGCCAGCAGCCGCGGUAAUACGGAGGGUGCAAGCGUUGUUCGGAAUCACUGGGCGUAAAGGGCGCGCAGGCGGUCUUGUCGGUCAGAUGUGAAACCCAGGGGCUCAACCUGUUGAAGUCAUUUUAAACUUCUUGUCUUUAUUAUCAGAGUGUAAAGUGUAAUUCCCGGUGUAGAGGUGAAAUUCGUAGAUAUCGGGAGGAAUACCGGUGGCGAAGGCGACUUUCUGGCUGAAUACUGACGCUGAGGCGCGAAAGCGUGGGAGCAAACAAGGAUUAGAUACCCUGGUAGUCCACGCCUUAAACGAUGUCAACUAGGUGCAGGGGGUGUUGAUCCCCUCUGUGUCGCAGCUAACGCAUUAAGUUGACCGCCUGGGGAGUACGGUCGCAAGAUUAAAACUCAAAGGAAUUGAAGGGGGACAGAAAAAGAGGUGGCGUAUGUGGUUUAAUUAGAUAAUAAGCGAGGAAACUUAACAACCAUUGACAUCCAGAAGACCUCCUGGAAACAGGAGAGCGCUUUCAUUAGAGAGAAUUCGGUGACAGGUGCUGCGUGGCUGUCGUCAGCUCGUGUCGUGAGAUGUUGGGUUAAGUCCCGCAACGAGCCGCAACCCCUGCCUUUAGUUGCCAUCAUUAAGUUGGGCACUCUAGAGGGACUGCCGGUGUCAAACCGGAGGAAGGUGGGGAUGACGUCAAGUCCUCAUGGCCUUUAUGACCAGGGCUACACACGUACUACAAUGGCAUGUACAAAGGGCAGCGAGCACGCGAGUGUCAGCGAAUCCCAUAAAGCAUGUCUCAGUCCGGAUUGGAGUCUGCAACUCGACUCCAUGAAGUUGGAAUCGCUAGUAAUCGUGGAUCAGCAUGCCACGGUGAAUACGUUCCCGGGCCUUGUACACACCGCCCGUCACACCACGGGAGUUGGUUGUUCCAGAAGCAGUUGAGCUAACCUUCGGGAGGCAGGCUGCCAAGGAAUGGCUGGUAACUGGGGUGAAGUCGUAACAAAGGUA